UUAUCCAUUUUACAAACAUUUACAUUUUCUUGAGUCUGACGUCUGCUUGACUAUGUUUUGUUUACAUACAUUUUUAUUAACUUCAAUACGAAAGAUUUAACAAAGGGGAAUAACUCUAAUGUCAUUUUUUUGUGAAAGAGAGAUAACUGGAAAUAAAUGAAUGUAAGUAAUGGGGGAUUUACCAAAAGCAAUAUUUUCUAUUUAUUAGACCAGAGUUGUAUGUUCAUAAAAAAUAUUUUUCGUUACGUUCAAUUGCCUGCCUAAAAUGUUCGUGUACAAAUACACUGAUUAUCUGACUAUAAAUUAAAACCCAUCUAGUGUCCGAAACCCAAAUAUAUUUAUGAAGCAUAUCACUUUUUGUUUAUUUUGGCACUGUAAAUGCCAUUUUGACCAUCGAUGAAAAAUUGUAAUGUCUAUGCUAUGGAAACUGAGUAUAUUCUGUCAAAAAUUUACCCAUGUAGAGUCUUUAUAUUGAACACUCUUAGAUGUCAGAGAGAUAAAAUUCAGAUCCAUGAUGAUGCAUGGCCACAUAUUUUUUACCCUUACAGAGAAUUGAUGUUAAAACAUAUACAGGUACACCAAGAAAAAUAUCAUACUCUUCAUAAUAUAUUUACACAUUGAUAAGUAUUUCAAAAUAAUUUUACCGUUAUUUUGUGUAAUAUGUAGCCAACAUCUACCAUGAGAAGGUAUGACUCUGUGAACGUAGUGAGCGGUAUGGGAGUUGAAGUUGUAACUAACAUCAAUGUCUGAUGUAUAACAAAAUAUACCAAUUAUUAACACUGUACGACAUUCAAACAUUAACAUUGAAAAAACUUGUUCCUGUAUCAAAUUUAUGGAAGCAGUAUGACUGCGUUUUCCAUGUAACGAACUUAUGCAAUCAGAUUUACUAAUUUUUAAUCUAUUGAGUAAUGUCAAAUUAUGCUCCAUCAUUGCGUGUGUUUUCUAUUCUAUCAAAACAACCAUUUUCAGUUAUAGCGGGAAAAAUUUGACUGCACAUUUACGUAACGAAUUCAUGAAAUCGUGUUUACCAAUCAUGUUCACCAGCUGUUGACAAAUAACAAAUUGUUUUUCAUCUAAAUAUCCGCGUGAUUUUUUUUUCUAUCAAAACAACCAAUUUGUACAUAUGGUGCCCAUUUACAUGAUUAUUUUUUCACCUAAUGUCAAAGGUUUAUCUAUUAUAGAUUUUUAAAAUAUUAUAAACACCAGGUCUUUGUUGGCUGUUUCCAUUAUUCCACACAGCGACAAACUUCUACGUACCUGUGUCUUGCAAACACUUGAUUAUUUCAAAGGCUUGAUUAUUUCAAAGAUGAAGGUUGUCGUCCUUUUGCUAGCUUGUUUUAUUCUACUCAUCGUUGGAAAUGGAGCGAACGCAGAAGGUUCCGUACCAACCGUCAAACAAAUGUCCACAAGAUGUCACCGACGUCUUGAUCACAUAUCGACCAUUUUACAACGUCAUAUAGACGUUUUGUGUCAGCCGGGGACAGACAGACACACAAGGUUCAUGAGGUUUGGAAAGAGGUAGUUUUAUUGGGGAUCGACGUGGAAAGUGCACUGCUUGAAAUCUACCUUUAAAAUCUGAAAUCAAUUAAAAAUCGGU